rnacentral:tRNA from 2 species
GCCGAGAUAGCUCAAUUGGCAGAGCAACUGUUUUGUAAACAGUAGGCUGUGGGUUCAACUCCCUCUCUCGGCU